rnacentral:lncRNA from 1 species
GCUCCCCGCCUACCGCUUAGUACGCUCGCGAGUCGACACAACUCACGACUUAAAACCGAAUCGAACAUUCCCCUCACGCGCCUCAAGCGUCGAUGUUGUGAUAUUUUAUUUAUAACAAAAUGUAUAACAAAACCUUUAUAAACAAAAGUGAAUCGUGAGUCGAGUGAGUUGCAACUUCAUCUUGCCAACGACGGAUUAACGGUACAAUAAAACCGGAUUAAUUACGAUUUAAGAUUAUAAUUUGAAAAUAUGCCAAGAAAGAAGGGAAUUAAAUGGACGAGGAUUUCAAAGAAAAAACAGCACGUGUGUACGUCUAAUUUGCGUAGCGUUGAAGAACCCUCAGGGCCAAUACAAAAUGAUCGUAAUGCGCAACCAGCUACAACAGACACACAUGGACAGCAUAUUAAUUUAAAAAUCUGUAGUAUACACCACAAGGCUUGAUGAAAUGAAAGUAGUAUUAAACCCUCAGACAGUGACUGACCAUACGAAAUUUUUGAGCAAGUAUUUGCCGAAAGCAAACCUAAAGCCACCGAUGAUUCCCUAAAACAUGCAAUGAGCCGUCAUAGACACAGUGACGGACCUAUGGCGUACGUCAAAUUAAAAUAUAAAAUCGAUCGCAUUAAUAUAAAUAUUGCACAUAAAAAGAUUUUGCUUGAUCGAAAACAAAACAAGGAAUUGCAAGGUGCACCCAAUAGUAAUUCAGACAAAGGAAUAACAAAAGAUGAAGACGUAACAAAGCCGAAGAUUCCCAAGACGUCCAGGAAAAAAAACAAAGACAAAACCGUAGAAAGUGUCGUGAGAGCUCACAAGACUAUAAAUUACCGCAAGAAUUAUAUAAUCAUAUACAACCAGAGGACUGACGAAGCCGAUGUUUAUUAUUUAAAUAAUACAGGGAUGGUCAUACAACAUUAUCGAACUGAUAAUGGAAGGCAUAGUCUUUUUCAAAGUUCACCAAACACUGCGACCAUACGGUAUUGCUGUUGGUACAAGCGGCAAGAUAUCGUAACUUCGAUGUUGAUGCACGUUCCUGCAAUAUCGGUUAGGUGUAUGGGCGCACCUCACUGGUGCGAAGGACGGUGUACGUGUUGCUGUAAAAAAAUUAUACAAACCUCUAAUGCCAAAGCUAAAACAUCCAAAGGUUUGACUACCGCGAAAAAAGAUCUUGUCUCUGAA